UAAUUCAGGCUCAUCUUUUCGGUCAUAGCUUGCCAUGACGCUGCAUAUGUCAUACUUCAAAUCAAUUUUAAGUACUGAACUGAAGGUGCUGACGUAUUUUAUGAAUUUUAAGUAAUUUUGGAAAUCCAAUAAAAAAGCAAAUAGAUGUCGCUAAAAUUUGAAGAGGGGGGUCUCUUCAGUUUUCUUUUCUUUAGGGUGUAUAGAUAUUAAAAGCUAAAAAUCACUAUUUUGAGUGUCUGUAUUAAUAAGAAAUAUAUUCUUCCAAUAUUUUGUUUGUGUUGUCUUCCUUUGAUGAAGAAAAUACAGUUCGCUCAGCAUUAUAUCGCUUCAACUUGGCAAGAGAUACAGAUUAUAGAUCAAAUAUGUUAUCAAAUUGUGGUUAUGAUAUUGGAAUCACGUGAGUGAACGAUGGAAUAGGCUAAAACUGUGUAUUUGAAAACGCAUAGGGCUGCGCCGAGAAUAAUUGGAAGAACAUUUGUAGGAAUUCUCUUGAAGAGUACAAACACUUAUUUUACGACAAAAUGUAUGAAAUAAAGAAAAUAAAACCGAUUCUGAGCA